rnacentral:rRNA from 1 species
CAGUCGCCACGGGAAUACGUAGGGUGCAAGCGUUAAUCGGAAUUACUGGGCGUAAAGCGUGCGCAGGCGGUUAUAUAAGACAGAUGUGAAAUCCCCGGGCUCAACCUGGGAACUGCAUUUGUGACUGUAUAGCUAGAGUACGGCAGAGGGGGAUGGAAUUCCGCGUGUAGCAGUGAAAUGCGUAGAUAUGCGGAUGAACACCGAUGGCGAAGGCAAUCCCCUGGGCCUGUACUGACGCUCAUGCACGAAAGCGUGGGGAGCAAACAGGAUUAGAUACCCGCGUAGUCCCUGUCUCUUAUAU